AGCUUGGUCAGUUCAUCCGAGCAGGCUUGAUAAGACUGGGUGUCAGCUUGGGCAGCAGUUUGUGAACUGUUGCACCUUUUGGGUAAUAAAUUCUUAUUUAAAAGUGAAAAGAGAAAAAGAAAUUUAGCAUUGUACAAUCUUGAGCUUCCUACAGGGACUGCAGAGCAAUGGAAGGGCUGUUCCUUUGGGAUGGCAUCUACCACCAGCCCCUGAGUACAUCUACAGUCCCUUCUGUCCCCUUCCUUGGAGGGAGAAGCCUGGAACCUGGACUAUAUAACUGACUUUCAGAGACCACAAGAGGCUCCCAUAAUCAUCUCAACCUCCAACAUAUUGUGUACCUUACUGUGUAUAUAAAUUGUAAACCACUUUGGAAGGCUGACUGAAAAGCAGGAUACAUAUGUAUGCAUGCAUAAAUAAAUAACCAAGAGGUGGCAGCAUUUAA